rnacentral:rRNA from 1 species
GGGUUGUGAGGUUAAGCGACUAAGCGUACACGGUGGAUGCCCUGGCAGUCAGAGGCGAUGAAGGGCGUGCUAAUCUGCGAUAAGCGCCGGUAAGGUGAUAUGAACCGUUAUAACCGGCGAUACCCGAAUGGGGAAACCCAGUGUGAUUCGUCACACUAUCAUUAACUGAAUCCAUAGGUUAAUGAGGCGAACCGGGGGAACUGAAACAUCUAAGUACCCCGAGGAAAAGAAAUCAACCGAGAUUCCCCCAGUAGCGGCGAGCGAACGGGGAGGAGCCCAGAGCCUGAAUCAGCAUGUGUGUUAGUGGAAGCGUCUGGAAAGGCGCGCGAUACAGGGUGACAGCCCCGUACACAAAAGCGCAUGUGCUGUGAGCUCGAUGAGUAGGGCGGGACACGUGGUAUCCUGUCUGAAUAUGGGGGGACCAUCCUCCAAGGCUAAAUACUCCUGACUGACCGAUAGUGAACCAGUACCGUGAGGGAAAGGCGAAAAGAACCCCGGCGAGGGGAGUGAAAAAGAACCUGAAACCGUGUACGUACAAGCAGUGGGAGCNNNNNNNNNNNNNNGGGCGUUAAGUUGCAGGGUAUAGACCCGAAACCCGGUGAUCUAGCCAUGGGCAGGUUGAAGGUUGGGUAACACUAACUGGAGGACCGAACCGACUAAUGUUGAAAAAUUAGCGGAUGACCUGUGGCUGGGGGUGAAAGGCCAAUCAAACCGGGAGAUAGCUGGUUCUCCCCGAAAGCUAUUUAGGUAGCGCCUCGUGAAUUCAUCUCCGGGGGUAGAGCACUGUUUCGGCUAGGGGGCCAUCCCGGCUUACCAACCCGAUGCAAACUGCGAAUACCGGAGAAUGUUAUCACGGGAGACACACGGCGGGUGCUAACGUCCGUCGUGAAGAGGGAAACAACCCAGACCGCCAGCUAAGGUCCCAAAGUCAUGGUUAAGUGGGAAACGAUGUGGGAAGGCCCAGACAGCCAGGAUGUUGGCUUAGAAGCAGCCAUCAUUUAAAGAAAGCGUAAUAGCUCACUGGUCGAGUCGGCCUGCGCGGAAGAUGUAACGGGGCUAAACCAUGCACCGAAGCUGCGGCAGCGANNGUUGGGUAGGGGAGCGUUCUGUAAGCCUGUGAAGGUGGCCUGUGAGGGUUGCUGGAGGUAUCAGAAGUGCGAAUGCUGACAUAAGUAACGAUAAAGCGGGUGAAAAGCCCGCUCGCCGGAAGACCAAGGGUUCCUGUCCAACGUUAAUCGGGGCAGGGUGAGUCGACCCCUAAGGCGAGGCCGAAAGGCGUAGUCGAUGGGAAACGGGUUAAUAUUCCCGUACUUGGUGUUACUGCGAAGGGGGGACGGAGAAGGCUAUGUUGGCCGGGCGACGGUUGUCCCGGUUUAAGCGUGUAGGUGUGUGUUCCAGGUAAAUCCGGUUCACUUUAACACUGAGGCGUGAUGACGAGGCACUACGGUGCUGAAGUAACAAAUGCCCUGCUUCCAGGAAAAGCCUCUAAGCAUCAGGUAACAUCAAAUCGUACCCCAAACCGACACAGGUGGUCAGGUAGAGAAUACCAAGGCGCUUGAGAGAACUCGGGUGAAGGAACUAGGCAAAAUGGUGCCGUAACUUCGGGAGAAGGCACGCUGACACGUAGGUGAAGUGAUUUACUCACGGAGCUGAAGUCAGUCGAAGAUACCAGCUGGCUGCAACUGUUUAUUAAAAACACAGCACUGUGCAAACACGAAAGUGGACGUAUACGGUGUGACGCCUGCCCGGUGCCGGAAGGUUAAUUGAUGGGGUCAGCGCAAGCGAAGCUCCUGAUCGAAGCCCCGGUAAACGGCGGCCGUAACUAUAACGGUCCUAAGGUAGCGAAAUUCCUUGUCGGGUAAGUUCCGACCUGCACGAAUGGCGUAAUGAUGGCCAGGCUGUCUCCACCCGAGACUCAGUGAAAUUGAACUCGCUGUGAAGAUGCAGUGUACCCGCGGCAAGACGGAAAGACCCCGUGAACCUUUACUAUAGCUUGACACUGAACAUUGAGCCUUGAUGUGUAGGAUAGGUGGGAGGCUUUGAANNGGGUUGCGGACAGUGUCUGGUGGGUAGUUUGACUGGGGCGGUCUCCUCCUAAAGAGUAACGGAGGAGCACGAAGGUUGGCUAAUCCUGGUCGGACAUCAGGAGGUUAGUGCAAUGGCAUAAGCCAGCUUGACUGCGAGCGUGACGGCGCGAGCAGGUGCGAAAGCAGGUCAUAGUGAUCCGGUGGUUCUGAAUGGAAGGGCCAUCGCUCAACGGAUAAAAGGUACUCCGGGGAUAACAGGCUGAUACCGCCCAAGAGUUCAUAUCGACGGCGGUGUUUGGCACCUCGAUGUCGGCUCAUCACAUCCUGGGGCUGAAGUAGGUCCCAAGGGUAUGGCUGUUCGCCAUUUAAAGUGGUACGCGAGCUGGGUUUAGAACGUCGUGAGACAGUUCGGUCCCUAUCUGCCGUGGGCGCUGGAGAACUGAGGGGGGCUGCUCCUAGUACGAGAGGACCGGAGUGGACGCAUCACUGGUGUUCGGGUUGUCAUGCCAAUGGCACUGCCCGGUAGCUAAAUGCGGAAGAGAUAAGUGCUGAAAGCAUCUAAGCACGAAACUUGCCCCGAGAUGAGUUCUCCCUGAGACUUUAGGUCUCCUGAAGGAACGUUGAAGACGACGACGUUGAUAGGCCGGGUGUGUAAGCGCAGCGAUGCGUUGAGCUAACCGGUACUAAUG